UGAUUAAGGCAUAAGUUGUUCUUUAUCAUCAGAUCUAAGUUUGUUUAAAGCUUCGAAUGUUUUGGGGUACUCUUCUUUGUUUUCAGGGUUCGUGGCAACCACGGAUGGGAAAAUGUGGAGGUUGCACGGCUGAUGUUUACUGUUCGUGGCACAGGAAGAGGCAGUUUCAUUUCAGGAAUGAGUGUGCACAAUCAAAGAAUAGAGCGACUGUGGAGAGACCUCUGGGUGGCCGUUACAUGCAUUUACUACGAUGUUCUUCACAACCCUGAGGAAGAAGGCCUUCUUGACAUUUCAAAUGCUGCACACCUCUUUUGCUGCCAUUACAUCUUUCUUCCUCGACUAGAGGAUAAUUUUAAUACAUUUUGCAGUGGAUGGGACAACCAUCCACUGCGAACAGAAAACAACAUGAGUCCCCCAACCAGCUGUGGGAGUUGGGUCACAGAUAUUACCCUGUUCCUGUUCCAGAAAACACACAGCUUAUCACACAUUUGAUUUCCAUGUGUGACGACUGCAAGUGUCCAGAGUGAGGACAGACUGAGGGACCCACUGCUGCACAUCAUCUGUGAGGCU